GUGCUGUGGGCGGGAGAGGUUGCGUUGCGCCGUUGCUCCCGCGCUCCUCAGUGAACUUGCUCCGCGCGUUUGUUUUCAAUAAGGCUAUGGUUAUGAACUAUGAAGAGGAUAUUGUAAAAUUAUUUUUAAAAAAUUGAUAUUCCGUGAAAAAAAAAAAACAAUAAUAAAUAGCUCUACAGUGAGUUUACGUGUUUUUAUUGUAAUUAGUGUUAUUAUUUUGAAAACUGGAGCAUGUGAUUUGCAAGUGAAAAAUACGUAACAAGAAAAAGAAAGAGAGAAAAAAGCAGAAAGAAACAAAAUCAGUUACUCUAAAAUAGACGCAAUAAAAAAAAAAAUGAAGAAAAAAUAAAAUGAAAAAUUGUAGAAAUGCGCGAAGGGAGAGAGACAGCCGGUGGAGAAAAGCGCAUAAAAGAACAAUAGAUAACAAAUAAUAAUAUGAAUAAAUAAGCGAACACCUAAAAGAAAAUAAUAAUAUAAAAAAUACACGACUUUAACACACACACACACAAAAAAGAAAUAUAUAUAUAUUUAUACAAAUCUCCCGUCAAUAUAGUGAGGAUAACGUGCCCAAGGCAAAUAUGAAAAUCGAAAAUAUAGGCCAAUGAUAAUCUUAGUGUAAAUAGAUAAUCUAGAAAAAUAAAUAAUAAAAAAAAUAAAUAAAAAUAAAAAUCCAAGACGAUGAGGGUAACGAAUGCCAUCAUCUGGACGAUCUGCAUCAGCAUCAUCGUCUUCAUCUGCGUGCUGUGGUUCGUCAUUUGCUACAUAGGCCUAUGCAAGCUACGGAGGCGGAAGAAGAAGGAGCUGCUGCCGGUCUUCAGCCUCCACGGCCAUCAAGGUAAAGAAUCUCAGACACGUUUCCAACACGUUGACUCCCGGCUGUCUGUAUGUAAGUACGAAUAUAUAGGCCUAUAGUUUCGAAUGUCG